UGCGUAUAACCGAUCUCUUCUGAUCUCGGAAGCCAAGCA
ensembl:rRNA 5S_rRNA 5S ribosomal RNA